rnacentral:piRNA from 1 species
UGUAGUGCAGCAGUUGUCCACUUCUGG